rnacentral:rRNA from 1 species
AUUUAAACCCUAGAAGAAAUUCAAUAAUAAACGAAGUGAAUUGAAACAUCUUAGUAACUUCAGGAAAAGAAAUCAAAAGAGAUUCUAUGAUUAGCGUGAGUGAAAAUAGAGGAGCCUAGAUAAAAAAUUAAGUAAAAUGGUUUAAAAACUGUUUGAAUUAAGCCCACUGUCCCCCUUCCCAGGGGGAAGUGGGCUUGGGGAACCUUCCUCAAAGGCUAAAUAUAAUACAUAAGCGAUAGUGAACAAGUAUCAUGAGAGAAGGAUUAGAAUUAGUAGUUUUAUAAGCAGUUCGAGCAAAAUAAAUAAGUGAGAACGUACCUUUUGCAUAAUGGGUCACCUAGUUAACAUUAGAUGCGAGUGAAAGCGUAGGUAAACCAAUCGUUAAAAUAACGAAUAGUGUCUAAAGUUAGACCCGAAGCCUGGUGAUUUUACCAUAAUCAGGAUUAUAAAAGUCCGAACGGGUUAUCGUUGUAAAGAUAUCCGAAGAAUUAUGGUAGGUAGUGAAAGACAACACUGACCAGGAUAGCUGGUUUUCUGCGAAACCUAUAACAGUAGGCAAUUUGAGUAACAUCUUAGCAGGUACAGAAUUUAAUCUCAGACAAGAUGUUUAAAUUUUAGUGGUGGCUGCGCGGUCUUACCGCUAAAGCUCGCCAUUAAAACAACAUGUUGAUUUGUAUAUAUCGGGGGAUCGUGAAGAUUUUAUCGGUGAGUAUGUAGACUCGGAAUGGCAAAGAUGGAUCUUUAAUUAUCGGACAUAGAAUGAUAAGGUUGUAUGUCAAAAGGGAAACAGCCCAGAACAAGAGUUAAGGUUCCAAAAUUAUUAGUUAAGUGAAAUUAAGAAAGUUUUUAUUAAAGUCGACAAGGAGAUGGGCUUAGAAGCAGCCAAAUUUUGAAGACCUCGUAACAGAGCGCUUGUUAAGUUUUAAAAGCAUCGAAAAUUUAACGGAUCUAAACAAUAUACCGAAACCUUGUCCAUAUUUUACUAUUGGCUAAGUAUAAGAUAGAUAGUAAUUUUGUGGGGUAGCAGAACGUUGAAUUAAAUUAAGAUAUUUCCUCAGUGAAGAAAUAUAUAAUAAACAAUUCAAGUGAGAAUGGUGACAUGAGUAACGAAUAAGAAGGAGGUGAACCCGAAACCCCACCCCCGCCUUAGGGGAAUGGCCUAGUAAGGUUCAUCAUAUCCUCCGCCUAAAGCUUAUGGCUUGGUGGAAGCUCCAAAACGGCCUCUAAGUAUAUGAAACCGAACGGGCUAUACGAUGAGAGAUUUACUGAAAGACAACAUUUUUAAGUGAGAAGUGUGCUGGAAAAUUAGUAAAGAAUGUCUGGGAGACUGGUCGCUAAAAAAUAGUAUCCUUGACUAGGAUCGUGUAAAAUCUAUACUAAACUAAUACCGUACCUAGAGUCUGAAACAAGUAAGCUAGUAGAGAAUACGAAGGCGUAAAUGAGCUAACAAUCAUAAAGGAACUCGGCAAAUUAACUACCGUAACUUCGGGAUAAGGAGGGCUCAUUAGUCCUGAUUAAUAUCGGGUAAAAAGGAAGAAGCAUAAAAUAAUGUUGUACGACUGUUUAAUUAAAACACAGCACUUUGCAAAAAGAUUAAUAAUCGAUGUAUUGAGUGUGAUGUCUGCCCGAUGCCGGCUGGUUAACGGAUUUAACUAAAUUUUUUCAAAAAUUUGGUGUUGAAGGAACCCCCGGUUAAUGGCGGCCUUAACGUGAGGGUCCUAAGGUAGCGAAAUGCCUUGGCCGUUAAAUGCGGUCUUGCAUGAAUGAUGUAACGAUACAACAGCUGUCUCUAUGAUUGACUCAGUGAAAUUGGAAUAACUGUGCAGAUACAGUUUACCUCUAGUUAGACGAGAAGACCCUAUGCAGCUUUACUGUUACUAAUUAUAGGGUAUGAUGGAUGAAUUUUAAGAUUAUAAGGUACAUUGAUUAAUAAAAAUGAAAAUCCUUUAUUUCGACAUCAUACUUCGGGUCCAGCGAAACAUAUGAUAAGUGGCAGUCUUAUUUCUCCGGACCAUUUGAGGGGGGUGGUUCUAAGGCUUAUCUAGUGGAUGGUGAUAGCCCCCCUAAGUAGCCACACUUAGAAUUUUGCAGGACGGAGAUUGCUUACCUCUGGUAAGUUGGAAGUAACCUUUAGAGAGGAAUAUAUAGUUAGGAGACAGUUUAUGUGGGGCACAGACCCCUUAAAGAGUAAAAGGGAGUGUCUAAAAAUGAUUUGUUAUAAGAUAGCGCGCCUCCAAAGGAAGCGCGUCAGCUCUUAUAAGGUUGUUUGUGGUUUUAUGUAGUUUUACUAUAUUUAAUCUUCUAAAAUUAUUUCUAUCUAUCCUAGUGGUAGAUAGGGAUGGAUAUUUAGGUACGUUUUUCACUAUAGUGAAAAUAGCGGUAUAAUAAAAAAUAUUAUGAAGGUAAAAUAGUCUAAUGUUUUUUGAGUUAUUAAGGGUGGCUGGCUUCGCAAGCCAGCCUUAAUAAUUAUGAUGAAUACCUGAAAAGCUCAACGGCUUAUUCGUGCCUUACUGUUUGAUUAACAACAAAUCUUACAGUUGCGUAAGCAGGGCAUAGGAUCACAAGAUGCAAAAAGGAAAGAUCUUGGAUUAUUGGAAAAGCUACGCUAGGGAUGUUUGUCCUUCAAUAUUUUAAGACUCUUAAUGAGAGCUCGAAUUAUUGAUAACAUAUUGGGUUAAUUUCAAGAAUUACUUAUAUAAGUAGAUUUGAAGCGAAAUUUAUCUUGGCAUAAUUACAUAAGAUAAAAUCGUUCAACGACUAUAAGGUGAGUUAUGCUAACAAUAAUCCUUUUUAACACCCAACAUUUUUAUUACCAUACACUUAUAAAAAAAGAUAAAAAGAAGUAAGAUUUAUUUUUAUGAAGGCGAAAGCUUUAAAUACAAACACAGUGGGAGCUGCUUUGGCUCCAGGAGCCAAAAAAAAAAGUGGGAGCUUUUGUAAAAAGGCCGCUUUUUACCCCAAUAUUUUUCAUUCUAAUUUAAAUAAUAAGUUUAAAUUAAUACCUUUUAAUAAUAUAAUUGGUGAUAAUGGGGGAGUUAAAUACUUACCUCCUGUAAGUAAAGAAUGAAAAAAUACUAUCUAUUCAUAUUAUAAAAAAAAUAUGCAAAAUUUGCCUAUAGAUAAUAUAAAUGCAAAUAAAGUAAUAAAAAGUUAUUUUAAUUUACAUUUUGCAGAUAAUAAAUUUAUAGGGUCUAAAUAUAUAUCUCCGAAAAACAGAAGUUUAUUCUUAAAAAAAAUCUUUGUAAGUAAAAUAGAAACAAAACAUACAAAUUCUAAAAUUAUAAUAACUUUAUAUACUAUAAAUACAGAGAAAAAUAUUGUAUCUAAAAAUUAUAAAAAAUGCUCGAUUUUUUGAGAAAAUAAAUUAUUAAAUUCCUUUAAAAAGGGAUGAAAGAAAAAAAUUCAUGAAGUGAGUGCUUUGAUACCAAAAGGACAAGCUAAAGCUCAUUUGGCCCCAGCGGCGGUAAAAAAUGAAGAAUUAAAUGCGAGCAUUAAUAAUAAUGCAAGCUCUAUAAUGAACAAUCAAAAAAAACUUCUGGUUUCUAAAUAUAAAUUAUUAACUGAAUCUUUACAAUGUUUUAAUUUAUAUUUAAGAUUAUACUUAAGUAGACAUUUUAAAAAUUCAUAUUUCGAUAAAAUAGAUUUAUUAAGAAAAUACCAGUUAAACUAUUACCUUAAUAAAUUAAAAUUUGAAAGAAAUAGUUACUUAGCUAAAUUAAGUACUCUGUUAUCGAAAAUAUUUAAUAACAAUAUAGAAUUUAAUAUAAUAAACUUAAAAUCUGUUAGUUUUAAUCCGGAUAUUUUUACUGAAAUACUAAGUUUAAAAUUAAGAAAACCUAAACCUAGAGGUGUUAUCAAUGUAAUAAAUAGUUUAUUAAAACUAGCCAAAUUACCUGUACUGAAUAGAAUACAGGAAAAGGCUAGUAUUAUAAAAUCUUUAGAUUUUACUUUAUGAGAAAAUGUUUUUUCAAAUUUCAGUUUAGUUUCUAUAAUGAAAGAAAAUAUGGUAAAGGCAUCUAAACAAGGCAGCAAUAGCAAGGCCUUGGCGGCCUUACCCUCUGACGAAAACAAUAUUUCAAAUAUAAUAUUUAAUUCAAUUAAAUAUAAAAAUUUAGGAGGUAUAAGAUUAGAAGUUAAAGGAAGAUUAACAAAACGUAAUAGAGCAGAUAGAUCUGUAUAUAAAUUUAAAUGAAAAGGAGGAUUAAAAAAUAUAGAUAGUUCUUUUAAAAGUUUAUCUACAGUUACAUAUAGAGGUUAUUAUAAACCUAAUGUAAUCUCUUCUUUAUCUCAAUCAAAACGUCGUGUAGGAUCAUUUGCGGUAAAAGGUUGAAUAAGUGGAAAAUAAGUAUAUUGGAUAUAUAUUCCGUUUUGGCGAGCGCAAGCUCGCUCUUCACUAAAUAAGUUAUGGAGCAGAGCAGAAAUCGCUCGAAUAAAAAUGAAGACAUAGUCUGAACCAUUUUGUGAAAAAUGGAAAUAAAAUUUAUUAUGAUAACAUGUAGAACAGGCUAAUUUGCGCAAGAGUGUACAAAAUGAGUGCGCGGUUUGGCACCUCGAUGUCGGCUUAACUUAUCCUCAUGGAUGCAGAAACUAUGUAGGGUACGACUGUUCGUCGAUUAAAAAGUUACAUGAGCUGGGUUAAAUACGUCGUGAGACAGUAUGGUUUCUAUCUUCUAGAGGGAAUUUGAAUAAAAUAAGGAUUAACCUUUGUACGAAAGGAACAGGAAAAACUUAACCUAAAAAGUUAGGUUAUAUUAAUUGUUAACCUCUGGUUUACCUGUUGUUUAUAAGCCCAAUAUUAAAAGUGUUAAGCCCAACUACUAUGUAUACGUCAAUAGACGGAGUCUGAUACAUGGUAUGCUUAAUUCGGGGGAUGUUACUUUCACUUAAGUAAAUUUAUAUUAUAGGCACGGCAGGAAAGCUAAGUUAGUUAAAGAUAAGUGCUGAAAGCAUAUAGGCACGAAGCUUACCUUAAGAUAUUUCUAAUUCACGUAAUAUAAUAUUACGGCAUAAUAUUAUUAUUAUUAUUGCAAUAGGCUUUGUUUGUAAGAAUCUAGAGAUUUUAAG